rnacentral:rRNA from 1 species
UACGUAGGGUGCGAGCGUUGUCCGGAAUUAUUGGGCGUAAAGGGCUUGUAGGCGGUUUGUCGCGUCGGGAGUGAAAACCCAGGGCUUAACCCUGGGCUGGCUUUCGAUACGGGCAGACUAGAGGUAUGCAGGGGAGAACGGAAUUCCUGGUGUAGCGGUGAAAUGCGCAGAUAUCAGGAGGAACACCGGUGGCGAAGGCGGUUCUCUGGGCAUUACCUGACGCUGAGGAGCGAAAGUGUGGGGAGCGAACAGG